rnacentral:rRNA from 1 species
GACGAACGCUGGCGGCGUGCUUAACACAUGCAAGUCGAACGGUGAAAGAAGAGCUUGCUCUUCUGGAUCAGUGGCGAACGGGUGAGUAACACGUGAGUAACCUGCCCCAGACUCUGGAAUAAGCGCUGGAAACGGCGUCUAAUACCGGACACGAGACAGAGCUGCAUGGCUACUGUCUGGAAAGUUUUUCGGUCUGGGAUGGACUCGCGGCCUAUCAGCUUGUUGGUGAGGUAACGGCUCACCAAGGCAACGACGGGUAGCCGGCCUGAGAGGGCGACCGGCCACACUGGGACUGAGACACGGCCCAGACUCCUACGGGAGGCAGCAGUGGGGAAUAUUGCACAAUGGGCGAAAGCCUGAUGCAGCGACGCCGCGUGAGGGAUGACGGCCUUCGGGUUGUAAACCUCUUUCAGCAGGGAAGAAGCGAAAGUGACGGUACCUGCAGAAGGAGCACCGGCUAACUACGUG